GCCGUGCGUUGUCGAGGAGCCCCAGGCCGCUGCAGCGAGCUCCCCGUGUUUUGGGCUUCGUGCGUCUGAGUUGUAUCAACUCGCCGAGGGCAGCUCGCCGCACCACGCGCCAGGUGGAAGCCCAAAGGAACGACCAUUCUGAAAUAAGUCUCUUGACUUACAGGCUGUGGAGUAUGGCAUAUUGCCAUGGACUAGCAGACACCGGUUUUAUCCCUGUGCCCUGGAAACAGUAGUUUCUGGUUAGGGAAAUAGGGACCUGUCUGUACGUAUGUACGUACGUGUGUGUGUGCGUGUGCUGCGUCUUUGUGUACAUUGCGAGCUGUGCGUGCGGUGGUUGUGUUUUCGUAGGCUGCGUAAGGGUGGGCAAGCGACGUUAGUGAGCACCCAUUUAGACGUUGCCAGCACCAUUCACGCCCGGCCGCCUUUGCCUCCACGGUGUUGAAGUUUUACACGCCCGCCGCUUUAAGUACUCGGUUAAGGCUGAAGUCGAUUUAGCAGAGGCCCAGGGUGAGUCCAAGACGCCGCUUGCCCACAGAUGUCACCCGUGGCUGGGGAAUGAGCCCAGCUCCUGGGAAAGCAGUGCGAAUUACAAAACCGCUCUGGCGUAAUUCUCUCCCAUGAACUGGGGAAUCUUUUGUCUUGGCGAUCGCUGUCGGCCAUUGCAUCCCCUACUAUGCAGUUCAAGACUUAAACAGGGAAUAUAUUGUGUGUGUGACCGUUUGUCUUUAUAGUCUUUGUGCAAGUUCUACUGCAACAAAACCACACACACACACACAAAGCGGAUUGUGUCAAUAUGUGCAGUAUGUACAUAGUAAUUGACACCGUUUGUCAGUCCACUGCUGGAUGAAAGUACGCAAGACGUAUGUAUAAUAUGAGAUACCCUGAUUAUUGUGGCCGCAUACGUACGCACGCACACACGUGCCCCGACACGCUGGAUUCGUUUGGCACUCGAUUGAGAGGCCAGUCGACACGUGGCGUAUACGCGCUGCGAACGAACCGUGCGAUUUACGCACGUGUAUAGAACUCUACGGUCAACCGAAUUUAAUGCUUAACUUUUUAAUAUACAUGCAUAAACGUGUGUGUAUAUAUAAAAACGCAUUAACAAAUCGUAUUGAAAUAUUUUCAAGGAUUUAUUUAUUUGAAAAACUAUAAAUAAAAAAAAACCCGCCCUCGAACAGAUGCUGCUGCUGCUGCUGCUGCUGCGUGGCACCGUAGACGCCAAGCCCCGGAGCGGGGAGGUCGCUAUCGGAUAGCGCUUUGUCGUCUCUCUCCGCUGUUCGGGGAGUGUGGCGGUGACGGUGGUGGUGGUGGUGGCGGUGACGGUGGCGGUGGUGGGUUCACACGCUCGCACACGCGGCUCGCCUACUGGACACCUGUGAACAAAGAGCGCUUCAUAGCUUAUCGGAUUCCUCCAGUUGAAAUCAACUUUCCGAUUCCCGAUUCGCCCUGCUUCGGGGGGUAGCGCCGUAGCACGGCGCGAGGGCUCCGCUCGCCGUUUGCAAAAGUUCUAAUCCUGGUACGAAGGUCGGCUCGCCAUCCUACCUUAUCAUCAUGAUCAUCGAACACGUUGGCCUUAGCGCAUCAACUACGCGCUCUGAAGCAAGGGCCAUUGCCCGAAAUGUCGCAGAUUAUACAUUACGCCCUUUAAGGCCACACAGUGUUGUUGUUGUUGUUGACACGGAAUGCGUCCAUGGGUUUUUGUUAUUUGUGCACCACUGCCGACUCAGCAUCAGCAUCACCACCACCAAGUAAUUUGUUUACUCAUCCUUACAGGAUUGAUAGCAUUGUGCGUGAGUGUGAAGUUAACACUUGGUGGGCUGGUGAGACUGGACACCCCUUUCCCGUGGCAAUGUGGGGAUCUCCAAUUUUUUCCAUGACAGUGCGUAUAAGUUUGACGCGUUCAAAACAUUCGAACCGCUUUCGAUCGUUUCGGCCGAUUGACACAUCCCUCCGUACGCCAUUCGGUUGCAAUGAAACGCAAGUGCCGCGAGCGACUCCUCCGAGGCGAGUCUUGACGUCGCGUGAAUGUGGGGCGACCCAAGGGCUUCGUAGCGUACAAGUGAAGUUGUUGGGUUAACCUCGUGCAUUUUCACGUCCCGCUGUGGGCUGGCCAGCUGGCGGCCGCUGGUUCAGCUCCAGAGGCCGCAUUUGCCAAAGGCGUCGCUCGUUUGUGCACCCGAGCGGAAAUAUUUUGUGGACAGCCGUUCGGAGCGGUCAGGUGAAUUCGAACUUCGUGAAGACUAACCCGAUGGCCGAGGGCCGUGCAUCGACCCAAUAAGCAAAACUCACAACUUGCCUCCGUGUUAAAUAGUUCUUCGUGAUAAGAUAUAUUUUUGGUAAAAAAAGUGUAAAUGUAUACCCAAAAAGACUAUUACGGACUGUCGAAUAUUUUUUUGUUGACAGAUUAUCGUGGAUAUCGUAUAUUUAUAUGUAUUGCCACAUGGUGACGGAUCGAAAUAAACAUUAUAUAUUAUGAACAAG